CUCCAUUUCUAUUGAGGUAGAGUACUGACUUGAGCAUCGGAGGGUCUUGUCGGAGCACCCCCAACUCUGGUUUAGACUUCCCUUGCAGGUCCCGAUGGCAGACGCGAUCCUCUCGACUCCAGCUUCUCUGGCAUCGGCGGAAUUUUGCACUAACAGAAUUAGUGCUAGAGGAAGGGCAUGUCUUCGUAGUACCCUUGUUCUUAAAGGAGUGCUCAACGGGAUCGUCUCCGGUCAUCUUCUCCGACAUCUUCUUCUCCUUCUCCUGCCAGAUCUCCACCUGAUACCUCCCCGAAAGACAUCCACUAGACGAUCCACGGCCUCUGCAGCC
rnacentral:lncRNA from 1 species